rnacentral:antisense_RNA from 1 species
CGUACCGAGACCGUCGAUUCCCGCUCGUCCAGCAGGUCGGCUUCGCCGAAAUACUCCCCUUCGCUGAGCAGAGCGAUCCGCAGGUCCUCGCCGUGCGGGCCCUUGCUGAUCACCUCAGCCUGGCCGCUGGCCACGAUAAAGAAACGCUGCUUGUCCUUGCCCUCCUCCACGAACAGGCCGUCCACGUCGACCUCAGUCGCCUCGAAGGAGCUCACCAGACGGUCCAGGAUGCCGUCGUCGAACUCCGAGAACAACGGGAUCGAUUUCAGGUUCCGGGCGGAGAAAGAAGGUACGCCGUCCACAUACCGGAUCGGAAGACGGUCAUUGUUCCGUAAUUCCACCUUCGUGCGGUUCACGCGGAACGUGCCGCCGGAAACCUGCACCCAGGGAAGGAGUUUCAACAGUAAUCUCGGCGUGAUGCUGCCCAUCUGGGGGGCGGUUUUCGUCGUCGUCGCCAGUCUUCUGGCGGUCGCAGUGGU